CUGUCACAAACAUUAGAUUGCAAGCAACACCGUUGCUUAGUUUGCUCUCGGCCUAAUGCUCUUUUAUCUUCUGGUAGUACGGAUAGUUCCCAUGUUUCGUUUUUGUUGAGGGAAUUUAUUUCGUUUUCCAUGGCUGUUUUCCACUUUUCUGCAUCUGGUCUCGGAGCUUCUGUCAUUGUUGUUGGGUCUGUAAUCUUAUCUACAAAAUUUGCUAUUUUUAUGUAUCUCUUUAGUGCAAUUCCUUUAUUUUUUCUAUUGGCGCUUCCUGUAUUACAUGGCAUUUCUAUUUCUUGUUCUUGCUCCUUCAUAUCACCGUUUUCUUCGGAUUCUUCAGUAUAUUUCAUCGUCUGUGACAGGUAUGCAGACAGUUUUCAUUGUGCCAGCAUUUGACAGUUUUCAUUGUGACAGCAUUUCAUUGUGUGUUCAUUGUGUUUUCAUUGUGUUAGUGAAGCUAUUAAAGCC
rnacentral:lncRNA from 1 species